rnacentral:rRNA from 1 species
UACGAAGGGGGCUAGCGUUGCUCGGAAUGACUGGGCGUAAAGGGCGCGUAGGCGGAUGGCACAGUCAGAUGUGAAAUUCCCGGGCUUAACCUGGGGGCUGCAUUUGAUACGUGUUGUCUUGAGUUCGGAAGAGGGUCGUGGAAUUCCCGGUGUAGAGGUGAAAUUCGUAGAUAUUCGCAAGAACACCAGUGGCGAAGGCGGCUCACUGGCCCGGUACUGACGCUGAGGUGCGAAAGCGUGGGGAGCAAACAGG